rnacentral:rRNA from 1 species
AUUGAACGCUGGCGGCAGGCCUAACACAUGCAAGUCGAACGGUAACAGAAAGCAGCUUGCUGCUUUGCUGACGAGUGUCGGACGGGUGAGUAAUGUCUGGGAAACUGCCUGAUGGAGGGGGAUAACUACUGGAAACGGUAGCUAAUACCGCAUAACGUCGCAAGACCAAAGAGGGGGACCUUCGGGCCUCUUGCCAUCGGAUGUGCCCAGAUGGGAUUAGCUAGUAGGUGGGGUAACGGCUCACCUAGGCGACGAUCCCUAGCUGGUCUGAGAGGAUGACCAGCCACACUGGAACUGAGACACGGUCCAGACUCCUACGGGAGGCAGCAGUGGGGAAUAUUGCACAAUGGGCGCAAGCCUGAUGCAGCCAUGCCGCGUGUAUGAAGAAGGCCUUCGGGUUGUAAAGUACUUUCAGCGGGGAGGAAGGGAGUAAAGUUAAUACCUUUGCUCAUUGACGUUACCCGAAGAAGAAGCACCGGCUAACUCCGUG